CCCCACCACCUAACCAGCACCUCCUCCUCCUUCAUUCACUCUCUCUCUCUGUAACUUCCAAAAGCUGCAGAGGAACGGACGGACGAAAAACGAAACGGAAACCAGUUCUAAAUUGGUUCUAGAUCUACAUCACCGGAGAUAUAUGGAUUUGGCCGGAACUUCUCUCCGCCAUUUCUCACGAUUCUCUCUCUCUGAUUCCUUAUUUUCAACAAAUUGUGCGCUGUCUGUGGAUCGUUCUCUGUGGAUCCGAUAACGAACUUCGUGUUUCYUAUUCUUCGAUCAUUCUGAGCUUGUAAUUGUACGUCAACUGCUUUUGAGUUAUGAAUCUGGUAAAAUCAACUUGCAAAAAUGUAAAAAACAGGAAGAGAUUGGACACAUAUCUAUGCUAUCUACGGAAUGGAUGAUUGGCACACACCGAUUUUUCUGCUGAUCCACGCGAUUGUCUUCUCCUCUUCAUCACUCAUAUUUCUUUUAUACUUCAAUUGGAUCUGCUAUUCCUUCGAAUCAAUCUUCCCGUCAGUAUUCUCAGGCAGUGUCGCCAGAUUCGCCGCAGGAUUCACCGGCUCCGUCACGGCUCUCUCCGUCCUUUGCCUCUUUUAUGCUGCCGGUGAUGCUUCCAUUGUUGCUCGGUACAUCGGCAGAAGCUUUGAAGCGGGAAGUAACAGGUUUGGUGUUGCCAUUGAAAGACUUGAAGAAGAGUGACGAUGAAGAUGACAACCACAGCGACAACUCAUCUAAAUCUCUGUUUGUUUUCUAUGAAGAACACCUUAAAUCUGAGUUAGUGAUCGACAUGGCUUAAGAUCUUGAGAAUUUUUGCAGGUAU